GGAGGUUUAGCUCAGUUGGGAGAGCGUCUGCCUUACAAGCAGAGGGUCGGGGGUUCGAGCCCCUCAACCUCCA
rnacentral:tRNA from 1 species